ACUCUACGACGUACGACCUGUAUUCGCCGAGACCCUCUAUGGCCAUAAGCUGAUAUGCCUCGAUCUCCUUCUCUUAGCAGCAGGUUAACCACCAUCGCUUACAAGGAGGGUGACCCAUCCUUCUGACGGCUUUUUACUCCAGGAACCUGACCGGUUGACAACGCGAACUCUCGGCUCCUGCGCACGGGUUCACGAUGCCACGAGGGGUGCCUGUCAACAUAACCCCGUGCGCCCCUGAUUCCAAUCGCGUGAAGCUGUGCCUGGGCGACCUUUGGGUCCAGGCACUGCCAUGGCAAUCUGCCUUACGUCCCACGCUGCUUUCUCCGCCUUUCCAGUCCGCUCUCCGACGUCACCUCCUCCCCAUCCUCUCGGGAGGUUCAAGGGAUGUCUUCUUGGCUCAACUGACGAAACCACUGGCUGCUACUGACAUGCUACUGGCCAUAGCCAUGAUGCCACUGCUGUGCCGCUAAGUCGACAACGUGGUGUCCCGUCCGUUGCAGCAUGGACAAGUGAUCAACGGCUCACGCGCACUGAAAAUAUUGUGAGCAACCCCCCAUUCACACGCCAUCGAAUCAAACGCUGGGCUUAGAGACGCAGGACUAAUGUACCCUUGGAUUUGCCUCGAGCCGAGUCGUACCACCACAGUCCUAUCAGACAGCAGGACAGAAGCGAACCCUUUGCAAGAUCCCAACCUAACAAGUCAUCGUCAUCCUUCGACCUGGCCAUCGACAACAAGUACUUUGACUAUGACAAUCAAGAGAGGAGCUACGCGGGCUACUAGACUCUAGAUAGAUUUCGUUGUUGUUAAGUUUAGGGAUAUACGCGUCCAUAUAUGUAUGUAUUUAGAUAGUAGAUACAAAUGUUUCCCACUUGUUUAUUUAUUUAUACUAAGCUAAGUAAUGACGAAUAAAACUAUUAAAAAAUCA